UACGUAGGGGGCAAGCGUUGUCCGGAUUUAUUGGGCGUAAAGAGCGUGUAGGCGGCCAGACAGGUCCGUUGUGAAAACUCGAGGCUCAACCUCGAGAUGUCGAUGGAAACCGUCUGGCUAGAGUCCGGAAGAGGAGUGUGGAAUUCCUGGUGUAGCGGUGAAAUGCGCAGAUAUCAGGAAGAACACCCGUGGCUAAGGCGGCUCUCUAGUACGGUACUGACGCUGAGACGCGAAAGCGUGGGGAGCGAACAGG
rnacentral:rRNA from 1 species